CAGCCGCCGCGGGAAUACGGAGGGUGCGAGCGUUAAUCGGAUUUACUGGGCGUAAAGCGUGCGUAGGCGGCUUCUUAAGUCGGAUGUGAAAUCCCUGAGCUUAACUUAGGAAUUGCAUUCGAUACUGGGAAGCUAGAGUAUGGGAGAGGAUGGUAGAAUUCCAGGUGUAGCGGUGAAAUGCGUAGAGAUCUGGAGGAAUACCGAUGGCGAAGGCAGCCAUCUGGCCUAAUACUGACGCUGAGGUACGAAAGCAUGGGGAGCAAACAGGAUUAGAUACCCGAGUAGUCCCUGUCUCUUAUAC
rnacentral:rRNA from 1 species